GCCCCCCUCAAGCAUUUUCUAUAGGAAAGCAAGAAGAGAGGAGGCUCAGCCCAACGCCACCAAGCCCUUUCUCAUAUUCCUUUGCACCUGUUGUCGACGCCUCCCUCUUUCUGGCCUCGAUGGAGAGCACGAUCGAGAGCACGUUGGAGAAUGUCGAGCACGGCAUCCGCAACGCACUGCAGCGCCUCAGCGACGCGCGUGCUCGCUUGGCGACCCAGCGCUCCGCGCUGAAUGAAAACAGACUCGUGCUGGUGCGGGCCGUGUCGCCGCUCCUGCUAGUGUAUCCUGCCGAAUCAGCGCUGCCGGCCCCUUCCUAUUCGCCUUGUGGCGCCUCAGACACGCUUCUUACACCGUUGCUGCGUGGCCAGUCGGCCAAAUCAGCCGUUGCGGCUGGCAGCUCUCCUCGCCACAAUGGCCUACUUUGUGAGGUCGAUCGUGCCGAGGAUUUCGAAGACACUAUCAUCAUCAGUCCUGCCGCUGCCGCACGAGAGCGAGCACCCGCACCGCCAACACUGCUAGCACUGCAGCCCCUGCCGCCGAUGUCCUCGCCACGCGCUCUUCCUCAGGCAUCGACGUAUGCUGGCUUCUACUCGGCUAUGGCGGCACGCACACAACAGCUGGAAGAGCAAUGCUCCAGCUAUUACCGCGAACACGUGAAGCACGCGGCCAAGCUGCAGAUUGCACAGGUGUGGGCCCGAGAGGUGCAGCCGUGGUUCGAGAAGGUUGUGCAUCGCGGCUUCUUCCAGCAUGUGAUUCUCCGGCUUGACGCGCUGAAUCGACGGGUGGUUCGGCUGUGUCGGCGGUUGGCGCUGGAUCGACCUCAGUACAUACCAAGCCGCCAGUGCACAAUUCCGAUAAGAAGGGGCAUGUGUGCGCACGGUCAGAUGGUGGGCGAGGAGGGACAUCUCCACGGCCGCCAACCGCACUCACAGUGUUGCCCCCAUCUCGCGGGGGGCGUGUGCAACCGAGGGCAAACAAAUGGAUUACGUGGCGUCAAUGGACAAGUCCGCUCAGCCAGCGACGAUGGCGGAGAGGGACAAGCGGCACAGAAGUGUGGCUGCACAGCAGAGGCCACGAGCCUUUCGGCGCCGCCGAGCCAACAGGGACGCACCAGCGAUGCUGCUCUCAAGCUUGACAGCGCGGAUGGCAACAACCACCCCAUGUGCUCUCUUUGGCGCCAGUACAUUCAGAUGGUGUCGCAGCCAGACGCUCUGGACGACGAGCAUCGUCAGGCGGGCGAAGAGAGCCACAGCCCACCGUCGCCGCUACUGCGCACGCCUCGCUCUCUCCGACAUGUGUGGCAUGUCACCAUGGAGGGCUUGACCAGCAGCGAUGCCGGCGCAGUCAGCGACUCGAUGACCGCGGAACCCCCUAGCGCUCUGCCCGCCGCCGACAGCGUCUCCGUCGGCGAUGUGAUGCCGCACCCAGGCUGCCGACUGCACCAGCGCGGCCACAUCGAUGCACUUGUGCGAAACCUCAGCAACCUUGUGAGGCGACGCGCCUCACUUCACCUGCCACUGCCUCCUCAGCAGUCGACACUGCGGCUCUGCAACCAUGAUGAGCACGAGCAUGAGGUGGGUUGUCACGACGGCCGCGAUGACGCUGCUGGCGAUGGGCGUCCUGGUGCGACUGCCCUUGUGCGAGAACGUCUGCCAUUGGACACGGGCUCUCCCCCUGUGGCCCUCCACCACUCUCAUCUGUGUGUACUGCUUUGCUGCGCGAUGCAACUCUGCUCUCUGGCGCAGCUGUGCAGCGCGAUCCGCGCAGGUCAACCUCUGUGCUACGUAACACCGCCACCUCAACUUGCUUAUGAUGCUGACGUGGGUGGUUGCUCUGGUGACGACAACGUCGCAGAUGACGGCAUCGGCGGUGUGGAGGUGGUGCAUAUCGGUCCGCACGAGCCGAUGACUGUGUCGGCAAGGGCCACGGAUGGCCCUUUCACAUGCCAACGCACGUGUGAAGGACAGAUUGCGGAGGCCUUGGCAGCGGUCUACCACACCGUGCCCUGUCUGCUCUCGCAGUUGAGCCUUGCACUUCAGAAGCGAAGGGGUGGCGCCGAGUACAGCGGCAAUGCGCAGCGGGAAGAAAGGAGCGAAGUAGCGGCUUCCGAAACGGAUGAGGCCACUGGAUCGAAACCGUGUGCGGCGUCGGCGGAAGAGGACCGCUUUUGUGUGACGAACAGCGCCGCAGAUGUUGGUGCUGGAAAGGAUAGCGCCACUGGCGCCGCUCUUUGGCCAACCGUGGGAGACGCGGCCCGUGACCGUGACGCCUUUGUUCGGCGGUGGCUUUCGCUCGCCUCGUCGUUGCUCACCACCGAGUUGCCGCCGCCAAGCACCCCACUCACCGAGGUGCCUUCAGUUUACGCCCGUGUACUGCGUGUUGGGUCCUUGUUCCGCUCUCUCCUGGAUGCCGCUGAGGAUGAGUGUGACGAGAGGCUUCUACAGCCUGCUGCAGGAGCAGCUUCCGCGGUGUUGUCCCCAACGACAACGACCCCUCUCACUACCGCGCGAGCGGAUGUAUCCACCUUGGCGAUGCAUGAGAUUCACGUUGCACAACGCAACACCACUGCAGCCCAUCGUAUUGCUCGUGCUGUUCCCGCUUCAUCGAUUCCGCUCGCGGCGACGACUCGGGUGAGCACGUUGCGCCAGAUGGAGCUGCAGACGCGUCAGCAAUGGCAGUCCAUGGAGACGAGUCUCUCCGUCGCCCGUUCCAUGGCAGCGGCGGCCCUCAAGCGGGCUGCACCCAGCGACGACGAGGCGGGCGAUGUAGCGGUCUUGCGAGCGCCGAUGCCGCUUGCUUGAUUGCUAUUAUUCUCUCGCGUCUGUGCUCUUUGCUCUCGCACACCAUUUGGACUGGCUGAUCUCGCCUUUUACCUUUCCUCUCUUCCCCCCCCCCCCCCCCUCGUGGGGGCCAUCCUUCUCACUCCUUCUCCUGCUCCUCCAGUGCUGCUAUCAAGCGCGUAUCCGCUCG
rnacentral:misc_RNA from 1 species